AUACAAAGCAGUAACGGAUGCAGAUACUUGUCAGAAAAAAAAAAAAAUCAGGAAAGGGACAGGACCACUAUCCACAACCCUAGGUGGUGAGGUAUGCAGAAAACACAACAGAAGUUUACUGCCAAGGGAUUUGCAGAUGUGGGACCAAAAGAAUAGUGGCCCCAGGGUGAGGUAAGAAAGGCUGAUUCCACAAAUCAUGAUGGAAGUAUGAGGACAGGUUCUGUACAAGAAGAAUACUCUUAAUCUCUUGUGGAAACAGUGCUGCAAAGGACAGCAAAGGAAAAACUGGACAUCACUGAAGAAGGCAGAUGAGGUACUCUUUCAAAAUGCUCAGCUGUCCUAAAAUUCAACAAGCCAGAAAAAAAAUCACAAUAAAAGCAGAAAACAGUUGCAGCAAAAAGAAUCAACAACUGGAACAGUAAGCAA